ACGCUGGCGGCGUGCUUAACACAUGCAAGUCGAGCGGGGAUACGGGACUUCGGUUCUGUAUUCUAGCGGCGGACGGGUGAGUAACGCGUGAACAAUCUGUCCUACACAGGGGGAUAACACUUGGAAACAGGUGCUAAUACCGCAUAAGACCACGACGUCACAUGGCGAUGGGGUAAAAGAGAUUCGGUGUAGGGUGAGUUCGCGUCCGAUUAGCUAGUUGGUGAGGUAACGGCCCACCAAGGCGACGAUCGGUAGCCGACCUGAGAGGGUGAUCGGCCACAUUGGAACUGAGACACGGUCCAAACUCCUACGGGAGGCAGCAGUGGGGAAUAUUGCACAAUGGGCGAAAGCCUGAUGCAGCAACGCCGCGUGAGGGAAGACGGUCUUCGGAUUGUAAACCUCUGUCCUUGGUGAAGAAAUAAUGACGGUAGCCUUGGAGGAAGCCACGGCUAACUACGUG
rnacentral:rRNA from 1 species